UACAGAGGGUGCAAGCGUUGUUCGGAAUUAUUGGGCGUAAAGGGCGCGUAGGCGGUGCUGUAAGUCUGUGGUGAAAUCUCUGGGCUCAACUCAGAGUCUGCCAUAGAAACUGCAGUGCUGGAGUGUGGGAGAGGUGAGUGGAAUUCCCGGUGUAGCGGUGAAAUGCGUAGAUAUCAGGAGGAACACCUGUGGCGAAAGCGGCUCACUGGACCAUAACUGACGCUGAUGCACGAAAGCUAGGGGAGCAAACAGG
rnacentral:rRNA from 1 species